GAUUUCUGGCUUGAAGAAUUUGGCCGGCCACGGUUUCGUGUGUUAGUGCUUUGUUCUCUGGCCAUCCUUCCAAUCGCUAUUUACUACUCUUCAUUGAUUGGUAAGUGGUAUUGGAUCUUUUACUUUGAAAAAAUUAGAGUGUUUCAAGCAGGCUUUAUGCUAUGAAUACAUUAGCAUGGAAUAAUAAUUUAGGACUUCGGUUCUAUUUUGUUGGUUUCUAGGACUGAAGUAAUGAUUGAUAGGGAUAGUUGGGGGUGCUAGUAUUCAGCGGCCAGAGGUGAAAUUCUCGGAUUCGCUGAAGACUAACUUAUGCGAAAGCAUU
rnacentral:rRNA from 2 species